GACCCAGUGUUUAAAGAAUAGAACAAAGUUUUUCUUACUGUGAUGGCCCAGUAGAAGGAGAGGCACUAAUUUAGCACGCUUAUGAUGAGCCUUGAUACUCAGUGAAGUGUAUUUCUCAGAAUACAACCAAGCUAUUACAAUGUUAACUGUACUGAGUCAACAGAAUUUAGAGACUUUCUUCAGCCUCAGCAGGUUUUAUUGUAAAAGAGAAUAGGAGAUGCUUCUUUGGGGCUGGAAAAUUGGGCAUGCAGAAUGCUUUUCAUCCUUUUUUUUUAAUUCUUUCUUGGUAGUUACAUCUGGAUCUCACCUUAUGUCCAGUGGGUUUACAUCAGAAGAGGUCGUCUUACAGAUGUGUCCUCAGAUCCUCCAAAUCUUUGUCUGGGAUGCACAGAAACCUGACUCCAGUUAAAAUUUCCUGUGCUCUGUGUGCCUUUGUAGCAUUUUUAUAAUAGGACCAUCGCCAUAAUCACAGUUUCCUACGUCUUGUGCACAAUUUUGUCAGUCCCUAUUCACUCUCAAUUGCUCUAAAAGAAAGCAGAUAGCACUUUAAGAGUCACUGGACUGCACUUGGUGAUGUCAUUUCCAAUAACUUCACUGUGGUUGAAACCGUGUGCUUUUAUUUAUUUUUUAAAUCUGUCAUUGACAUGUAUAGACAUGUGAUCAUUACAACUUUUAUUUUUUAAAACCACGUUCAUUUAUUUGUGUGUGGGUGAGAGAGCCAUGGCACUGUGUGGCGGUCAGGGGACAAACUGCAGUUGUUGAUUCUUUCCUUCCACCACAUGGGGCCCAUAGAUCAAAUCAGGUUGUCCGACCUAGUGACAAGUGCCUUUACCCGCCGAGGCAUCUCACAGGCCGUCUUAUCAUUUUAAUAAAAAUUGGGCUGUCAGAGAGAUGGCUCAGCAGGUAAAGUCACCUGCAGCCGAGUUUGAUGAACUGUGUUCUAUCACCAGAGCUGGAAGAGUAGAAGGAGAGAACCAACCAGCAGUUAUGCUCUGACUUCCGUAUGUGCUCAGUAGCGUGGAUGGGCCCACAUACGUAUAACAUGUAUUAAAAAUAUUUUUUUUAAAAUCUGGGCCAUCAUGAAGAUUGUCAUUGGUGGCUCAGUGAGUGACGUGUUUGGCGUCUAGCAUGAGGAUUCAUGAUUCCUAGCACUCACAUAAACUGGGCGUGCCAACCAGCACAGGAAGGCGGAGACAGGAGUACCUUGGGGCUUGCUGGCAGCCGAUCUAGCUGACUGGUCCAGUGAGAGACCCUGUCUUGAGGUAACAAGAUUGAGACUGAUUGAGACAACUAAUGUUGAUCUCUGGCCCGCACACCACAUGGGGAUGCACACAUUUACUGCGCAUGUAAACGUAUCAUUUAGUCUGAUGUGGUCAUCCGGGUCUGUAAUCUCAGCACUUGGAGGGCGUACGAUGAGAUGCUGUUUUAAAAAGCAGAAUAUAGCCAUCCCUUGUCCAUUGCUUUGCCUUGUGUCAUCCUGAAGAAGUGUGGCCUUGACGUUUAGAUGGUUGUGUCAUGGGAAAGUGCUUUUGACUGUGAAGUGGAAAAGCAUACUUCAGCCGCCAUCGUAAACUUUAUCUUCUUGGUUCCUAGUGGUUUUAUGAAGAGACAGAAUGUAGUGACGAUAUUGAAGUUCUCACUCUCAAGAAAUUCAGAGGGGACCUGGCCUACAGACGACAGGAAUACGAGGUGGGGGUCAACACGAGUGGGACUUUGGCAUUUCAGCUGGGCUCUGGUUUUAUCAUCAGUAGCACAUGCAGAGAGCAGUGUGUGCCAGGUUAGCAGUGUGCUUUGUGGAUGGAUUUAGUCUUUGGUGGGGCCUAUAGAUAAUCUUAGACUCUUCAGUCUACGCCUUUUCUACAGGGUCCAUAUUAUGUUUUGUUUUUUCAUAAUUCCAGACAAAGACUACUUUGAGGAUCCCUGUAGGUCUGCUUUCCCAUUUAUAUCCACUCGCCUGUGAAUCUCCAACGUGUCACAGGAACAAAAUACCCCACAACAUGCAAGAGAAGGAAGGGAUGAACAGUUAGAUGCCAGAUUGUUUCACAUACAAGUCUCAUUUCAUCUUUGGGCAAAUAUUAAUAAGGUAUAUAGCUGGGUCUGGUGCCAUAUACCUUUAAUCCCAACACUUGGGAGGUGGAGGCAGAGGUAGGUGGAUAUCUGUGAGUUCAAGACCAUCCUAAUUAAUCUAGGUAGCAAAUUCAGGUGUCUGUCUGUCUGUCUGUCUCUCUCUCUCUCUCGCUCUCGCUCCCAGCACACACACACACACACACACACACACACCUCAAAGUCCCAGUAAAACCAGGACUCAAAGCCUAUUCUUUUUGCUUCUAGAAUGUUCUCUCUCUAAUACUGUGAUACUUCCAUAGUUGUAGACAUUAUGACCUGCAGCCAUUCUGUCUCAACCUUUUAGAAAAACAACUCACAGUACUGGUUGAAACACUUGGUCUCCCAUAGGUCAUUGUAGGAUUGCGUUUUACUUUCUGCAUAGGAAAAAGUCAUCUCUACACUGGGUCCUUUCCUUUCCUUUCCCUACCCCUUCAUGCCUUCCCUUCUUUCUUUUAAUAAUCGCC
rnacentral:lncRNA from 1 species